rnacentral:rRNA from 1 species
AGUGAACGCUGGCGGCAGGCCUAAUACAUGCAAGUCGAACGGCAGCACAGCAGAGCUUGCUCUGUGGGUGGCGAGUGGCGGACGGGUGAGGAAUACGUGGGAAUCUGCCCAGUCGUGGGGGAUAACGUAGGGAAACUUACGCUAAUACCGCAUGCGCCCUUCGGGGGAAAGCCGGGGACCUUCGGGCCUGGCGCGAUUGGAUGAGCCCACGUCGGAUUAGCUAGUUGGCGGGGUAAAGGCCCACCAAGGCGACGAUCCGUAGCUGGUCUGAGAGGAUGAUCAGCCACACUGGAACUGAGACACGGUCCAGACUCCUACGGGAGGCAGCAGUAGGGAAUAUUGGACAAUGGGCGCAAGCCUGAUCCAGCCAUGCCGCGUGAGUGAAGAAGGCCCUCGGGUUGUAAAGCUCUUUUGUCCGGAAAGAAAAGCGCCGGGUUAAUACCCUGGUGUCCUGACGGUACCGGAAGAAUAAGCACCGGCUAACUUCGUGCCAGCAGCCGCAGUAACAC